CACGAGGGUAAGAUGUGUGAGGCAUUAGCCUCUAGUGCAAAGUUUAAGGGGCACGAAAAUACUCACAUCAAGAUAAACAAUACUUUGGUGCAAGUUUUUUAAAAAUCAGACAAGUAAAGCCACUGCCAGCCACCUGUUUUUGUAAAUAAGGUUUUAUUGGAACCAGGGCCAUGAUUAGGGUGAGGUGAGUCAGGCAGGGUCGUGAAAAUGCUGGGUUGAAUCCCGUCUUUAUUUAAAAUUUAGAUAUUUUUGUUCACCAUGAAUUUUUUUAUUAAUUUUGAUUUUUUGAAAUAUUGCAUUAAAAUAUUUACGUUGAUUACUUAGUUUGGGAUGCCCGCUUAAAUUCCGUGCCAGAAGCCAGCGUCUCACUCGCCUCACCCUAAUCCUAACCUUGCAUCUCGUCCCUCCUCAAUGUGGCCGUCUUAAACCUCCAGCGCUUUCCAGCCCGGCUCCCCAUCACCGCCUCCUGACCCUAGGAAGCGCUGUAGUCCAGCCCUCGACACGUCGUUCCCUCUCUCAAUUCCCAGGUGACGCGCGCGUCCGGGAGCCUGGGGGAGGAGCGCGCUCAAGGCCGCCGGGCCUGGGUGCCCGGCUGAACGCUCGCUGCGGUGAUCUGGCUUAACGGUGGGCACGGGGCUCUACAACUUCUCGCUUGAGGAAAGCUCGCCCCUAGCCGUUUUCUCUCUAGUUGAGGACUGGGAUGGCGGUUCCUACGCGGCUCUUUGUGGUGUGCUCACUACUCUGACCGUUUCGCCCCCUUCCCAGGAAUGCCAGGGCUCAGAUGGGGAAAGUUUUUUGGGAAGUGAGAAGCAAGCAAGACGGGCCAGGAAAAGAGCGCCCCUUGGCCGAGGCUGGAUAAGGAUGCUCGGGGCCCUCAGCAUCCCACUCUCGGGGGCUAGGAGGACUCCCUCAUACUUGGCUUCCGGAGCUGGGGUCAAGGCACCUCCUACUCCCGGCGCCCCUUGCGAGGGACUACAUUUCCCAGCAGGCCCCUUGGAGGCUGCCGGCGGAGGGGCCUCAGCGGCGUCCCUUUGCAGAGCCCGGCGCCCUGCUGCGAGGACUCGGCCUCGGAACCUUCGUGAUCCCUCGUUAGUCGGCCCUCGCGGGCCUGGGGCUUUCAACAGCGCCUUAGAUGGCCUUCCCGGAGUUGGGGUGUGGCCUUAUUUGGAGAGUGGGGGUGACUGGCUCGUCUCCACUGUGCAGGAGUCUGGCGGGUGUGGGAUCUCUCUGGGAAUUGGGAACAAGAAUGAGGACAAGUUUAUUCAAGAGGAAGGGCCCAGUAACAGAGAACAUCAAGGGAUAUGCCCAAGAACAGUGUCAUCUAUUUCUAGACUCAACCUCAAGAAACUUCAGAUGACGUUGCCAAGAAUCUUAAAUUAGAGAAAUCUCAAGAUAACUCCUUGAAGAUUGGAGGCUGGGUACCACUCCCACACUGUGAACUCACUGGUCAUGGGAAACCUGUGCCUGGUACAAGACCCUACAGCUGCACCCACGGUGGCAAGAGCUUCCGGCAUAGUUACUCUCUGACCCAUCAUCUUCGAAGUCAUGCAGGUGAGAAGCCUUCCCCCUGUCCUGACUGUGGAAAACGUUCCAGCCAAAGUUCCAACCUCCUCCAGCAUCAGCAGACUCACCAGGGAGAUGAGCCCUACAAGUGUGGGGCCUGUGGGAAAGGUUUUGCUCAGAGUGCAUCCCUCAUCCAGCACAGAAGGGUCCACACUGGUGAGAGACCCUAUCACUGUCCCCAGUAUAGAAAGACCUUCUGUGGAAGCUCCAACCUCAUUACGCACUAGCGAAUCCACUCUGGGCAGAAGCCAUAUAUCCGUGGGGGAUGUGGCAAGGGCCUUACAGUCAGUUCUCUGCUGCUGCCUCACCAAGGAGUGCAUACUGGCCUGAAGCCCUAUGUCUGUCCCCAGUGCAUUCUUGCAGAUUCCAGAUUCCAAGUUCACCCUCCAUGGUGAACCAGAAACAGUCAUGGCUGCCAAGUUUACCUGUUCUGAGUGUGGAAAGAAUUUCCCAGCCAUCGGCAAGUUCCUUCGACACCAGCUCACCCGUACAGGUGAGAAGCUUUACAUCUGCUCCAAGUGUGGGAAGCGCUUCACCCAGAGCUCCUCCCUGAUCCGGCAUAGAAAGAGCCACUUAGCAGAAAAGCCACACCUGUGUGUAGAGUGCGGCUCUGGCUUCAAUUACCCUGUCCACCUGGUCAACCACCAGCGGAUGCACUCAGGGGAACGGAAUUUGGCUUCUCUGAGUGCCAGGAGUGCUCCUGUGAAGCCUGGAAGUUGACCAGGCACUGGCAGACUGCCCAGCUGGCAGCUCACGAGGCUGGGAGUGAUCGGGCCCAGAAGCUAUACAGGUGUGGGACUUGUGGGGAACAGUUUGG
rnacentral:lncRNA from 1 species